ACUGCUUCCCUCAAAUCCUCAAAAUCAUUCAACCUUUGAAAUACUAAACCACGAAUCCUACGGAAACUUUUUAAUUAUAAAAAGUCUACAUAUAGCACACCAUUAUGUGAUUUUCACUAUACCUGAACUAUGAACUCAGUAAACCAUAGCUAACUCAGUGUUGAGAAAGAUCCUAUGUGUAUCCUGUCUGAAAGAGAUCCCCGUGUCAUCUCUCCCAUCCCGAGGGUUACACAGUAACCUGAAUGCUGUACCGCUUGUUCAGAAAGGAAAUGGGAUACACAUGACAAGAAAGCAGAGAGAGGAGCUAUCGAAGAACGGAAGCACCACGGAGAGGCGAGAAGAUGACAGCAAAA